UACGUAGGUGGCAAGCGUUACUCGGAAUCACUAGGCGUAAAGCGCAGGUAGGCGGUUUGAUAAGUCUCUUGUGAAAGCUCCCGGCUUAACUGGGAGAGGUCAAGGGAAACUGUCAGGCUCGAGUGUGGCAGAGGAGACUGGAAUUCCUGGUGUAGCGGUGAAAUGCGCAGAUAUCAGGAGGAACACCGGUGGCGAAGGCGGGUCUCUGGGCAACUACUGACGCUGAGGAGCGAAAGCGUGGGGAGCGAACAGG
rnacentral:rRNA from 1 species